rnacentral:rRNA from 1 species
UACGAAGGGGGCUAGCGUUGCUCGGAAUUACUGGGCGUAAAGGGAGCGUAGGCGGACAUUUAAGUCAGGGGUGAAAUCCCAGAGCUCAACUCUGGAACUGCCUUUGAUACUGGGUGUCUUGAGUGUGAGAGAGGUAUGUGGAACUCCGAGUGUAGAGGUGAAAUUCGUAGAUAUUCGGAAGAACACCAGUGGCGAAGGCGACAUACUGGCUCAUUACUGACGCUGGAGGCUCGAACAGCCGUGGGGAGCAAACAGG